rnacentral:rRNA from 1 species
UACAGAGGGGGCAAGCGUUGUUCGGAAUUACUGGGCGUAAAGGGCGCGUAGGCGGCCUGUUAAGUCGAACGUGAAAUCCCCGGGCUCAACCCGGGAACUGCGUCCGAUACUGGCAGGCUUGAAUCCGGGAGAGGGAUGUGGAAUUCCAGGUGUAGCGGUGAAAUGCGUAGAUAUCUGGAGGAACACCGGUGGCGAAGGCGGCAUCCUGGACCGGAAUUGACGCUGAGGCGCGAAAGCCAGGGGAGCAAACGGG